rnacentral:scRNA from 1 species
CCGCUUACCAUCCACAUGAUGAACAAUUAUCU